CUGAAUUAACUAAAUCAUUUCUAAUUAUCUCCUUCUACCUCUAAGGCUAUCCAGGCCUAUGGACAGAAUCUGGCAUGAAGCCUAAUAAGAACAAUGGAUCAGAAAUGUAAAGCUGGAAGAGACUUCAGAGGCUACUUGAGUCAAUCCCUUCAUUUUACAGAAGAAUCUGUACAAGGAGACUUAUCCAAGUGUCAGAGGUUUCUCUCACUGCUACACCUUUCCCUGAUUUGGGCAUCAGAAUCAUGUUUUUCUCAAGAAAGAAUCUUCUUCCUCUAUUUUGGAAAAUAAUGUAUGUGAUUAAUUUUAUUUGUUCUUCAAAUCUUUGAGAGAAUUUUCUUGUAAACUUCUUGUUCUGAAAUUUAUUUUUCUUAGGAGUUCAUUUACGGUAUACUCAGCUUUUCUUUCUGGAAUUGGGUUCUUUAGUUGUGGAUUUCCACAUUUGAGUAUAUGUGUGCAGAUACUAAUCCAUUUUUUAUUUUGUUGGCAUAUAACUACAAAUAAUAGUUUCUGAUAAGUUUAUUUCCUCUCCAUUCCUUGUGAUUUCCUCUUUAUCAUUUUUUUAUUAUGGUCAUUUGACUUUCCUCUGAUUAAACUGAUGAAAAUAGCUAAUGAUUUAUUGAUUAUGUAGCUCUUUAAAAAAGAAGUACUUUUUACCUAUUUAAUUUUUUUAAAAAUUCUCAAUACUGGUUCUUUACUCUUUUAAAAAAAACUUUUUUUUGUGUUUGUGUUGGUAUAAAUAAUUGCUAUAUUUUUCUACCUUUUAAAUUUGCACAUUCAAUUCUCUUUUGUUUAUAUGUUUUCAGGGCUAUUGAUUUAACUGGACUACAUGGACUACUUCAGUAACAACAUACAAGUUGAAUGUGAUAUAUGGCUGAAUUGAAUUAGAGCAUUAUUAUCCUUCUCUUAAAAAACAAGUUCAAGGCAGCUAGAUGGCUCAUUGGAUAGAGAACUAGGCCUGGAGACAGGAGAUCCUGGGUUAAAAUCUGGCCUCAGAUACUUCUUAGCUAUGUGACUCCAGGUAAGUCAUUUAACCCCAAUUGCCUAGUCUUUUCCACUCUUCUACCUUGGAGCCAACUCUAAGAUAAAAGAUAAGGGUUAAAAAAGAAACAAACAGGGGACAGCUGGGUAGCUCAGUGGAUUGAGAGCCAGGCCUAGAGACAGGAGGUCCUAGGUUCAAAUCUGGCCUCAGACACUUCCCAGCUGUGUGACCCUGGGCAAGUCACUUGACCCCCAUUGCCUAGCCCUUACCACUCUUCUGCCUUGGAGCCAAUACACAGUAUUGACUCCAAGAUGGAAGGUAAGGGUUUAAAAAAAAAAAGAAACAAACAACGAGAAAUAGGACAUCCCAAAAGUUUUAAUGAAGUGUAAUAUAUAUGGGGAAUUGGGGGUGGGAGUAUAUAUGCACAUAUACAAACAUACAAGCAUAUAUAAAUAUAUACAUGUAUAUUUACAUUUAUACUAAAUGACAAUAUAGAUCUAUUUAUAUCAUUAUUUAGUUUCUAUUUAAGAGAAAGCAACUUUGUUCAUUUCUUUUAUUAAUUUCUUUUUUUACUGCAUUAUGGUCAGCAAAGUAUGGUUCAUACAAUUCAGUCAACAAGUAUUUAUUAAGUAUUUAAAUGGCUAAACACUGGAAAUGCCAAGAAAGGCAAAAACAGACCUCAGGGCACUUACAUUCUGAUGAAGGAGAUAAUGUGUAAAUAACUCAGUACACAUAUGAUAAAUAAAGAGUAAAUGGAAAAUAAUCUUAGAGGGGAA
rnacentral:lncRNA from 1 species